GACGAACGCUGGCGGCGUGCCUAAUACAUGCAAGUCGAGCGCAGGAAACUGACGGAACUCUUCGGAGGGAAGGCAGUGGAAUGAGCGGCGGACGGGUGAGUAACACGUAAGGAACCUGCCUCAAGGAUUGGGAUAACUCCGAGAAAUCGGAGCUAAUACCGGAUAGUUCAACGGACCGCAUGGUCCGCUGAUGAAAGGCGCUUCGGCGUCACCUUGAGAUGGCCUUGCGGUGCAUUAGCUAGUUGGUGGGGUAACGGCCCACCAAGGCGACGAUGCAUAGCCGACCUGGGGGGGUGAUCGGCCACACUGGGACCGAGACACGGCCCAGACUCCUACGGGAGGCAGCAGUAGGGAAUCUUCCACAAUGGACGAAAGUCUGAUGGAGCAACGCCGCGUGAGUGAUGAAGGUUUUCGGAUCGUAAAACUCUGUUGUAAGGGAAGAACACGUACGAGAGGGAAUGCUCGUACCUUGACGGUACCUUACGAGAAAGCCACGGCUAACUACGUGCCAGCCGCCGCAGUAA
rnacentral:rRNA from 1 species